GGGACUAUGAGGACUCCGAGACGGUGUCCAAGUGAGAUGGCUGGCGAGGUUGUUCGAGGUAAUUUCAUGAUGAGGAUGGACCAGACUUUAAGACAUUCUGAGCUCCAUGAAUGUCAUGAGACACUCCAGGAGACGGUGGUUGCAAUGCAUUAUCAACACCCCGCAACCCCAACCCUCCAAUGGAACCCAGAACCCUCCGGAGUUCCUCAGGACCUGUCGGCAUGAGUGAGGCGAACACAUCGUGCGUUGGAGGAAGAGUUGCAGUGACGACUUGGACCACAGGCCAGAAGCCUGAAAUAGAUUCUUUGAGAAUCUUAAAAGUCAAACAACUGGGCCUUGCGGGGAAGACUGAUGACGUGAGAAAAAAAGGAAAAAUUUGAUGAGCAGACGUGAGCGGCAGUGGUGCUGGUGGCGCAGGAUGUCCUGGAGGAGGACGACCUCGACUUCCUCAAAGGGGCUGAUGCUAGCCUUGUGCCUGAUGGGGAAACAAGUGCACAUUUGUUGUGCUCUGUCUGAGAUGGAGAAGUGUGCGCCUUGCUGGCGUACUUCAAUUGAUGCCUGCAAGCCCAGACAGCGAGUGACCGAUAGUGGCCGGU